UACGUAGGGGGCUAGCGUUGUCCGGAAUCAUUGGGCGUAAAGCGCGUGUAGGCGGCCCGGUAAGUCCGCUGUGAAAGUCGGGGGCUCAACCCUCGAAAGCCGGUGGAUACUGUCGGGCUCGAGUGCGGAAGAGGCGAGUGGAAUUCCUGGUGUAGCGGUGAAAUGCGCAGAUAUCAGGAGGAACACCGAUUGCGAAGGCAGCUCGCUGGGACGUUACUGACGCUGAGAGACGAAAGCUAGGGGAGCGAAUGGG
rnacentral:rRNA from 1 species